rnacentral:rRNA from 1 species
GAUGAACGCUGGCGGCGUGCCUAAUACAUGCAAGUCGAGCGAACAGACGAGGAGCUUGCUCCUUUGACGUUAGCGGCGGACGGGUGAGUAACACGUGGGUAACCUACCUAUAAGACUGGGAUAACUUCGGGAAACCGGAGCUAAUACCGGAUAAUAUUUCGAACCGCAUGGUUCGAUAGUGAAAGAUGGCUUUGCUAUCACUUAUAGAUGGACCUGCGCCGUAUUAGCUAGUUGGUAAGGUAACGGCUUACCAAGGCAACGAUACGUAGCCGACCUGAGAGGGUGAUCGGCCACACUGGAACUGAGACACGGUCCAGACUCCUACGGGAGGCAGCAGUAGGGAAUCUUCCGCAAUGGGCGAAAGCCUGACGGAGCAACGCCGCGUGAGUGAUGAAGGUCUUCGGAUCGUAAAACUCUGUUAUUAGGGAAGAACAAACGUGUAAGUAACUGUGCACAUCUUGACGGUACCUAAUCAGAAAGCCACGGCUAACUACGU